rnacentral:rRNA from 1 species
AACGAACGCUGGCGGCGUGGCUGAGACAUGCAAGUCGCACGGAACUGCUUUUGGGUAACUGAGAACAGUUUAGUGGCGAAAGGGUGAGUAAUGCAUGGGUAACGUACCCCGGGCACCGGGAUAGCAGCGUCUGCUUCGGCAGGCUACCGAAAGGGCUGGUAAUACCGGAGUGGUUGGGAGCACUGCGGUGCUUUUGAUCAAAGUUGGGGAUCCGCUUCGGCGGACCUAAUGGCCUGGGAGCGGCCCAUGUUCCAUCAGCUAGUUGGUAGGGUAAAGGCCUACCAAGGCGAUGACGGAUACCGGGGCUGAGAGGCCGGUCCGGCACAUUGGGACUGAGACACUGCCCAGACCCCCACGGGGGGCUGCAGUAACGAAUCUUCCGCAAUGGGCGCAAGCCUGACGGAGCGACGCCGCGUGUGGGACGAAUUCCCUCGGGAUGUAAACCACUGUCAGGGUUAUGGAAGCAAACCGCAGUAAACAGCGGGGCGUAGACCUAGCCCAAAGGAAGCCACGGCUAACUUCGUGCCAGCAGCCGCGGUAAUACGAAGGUGGCAAGCGUUGUUCGGAAUAACUGGGCUUAAAGAGCACGUAGGCGGCUGGUCAAGCAUUUUGUGAAAUCCCUCGGCUCAACCGAGGAAUUGCGAGGUGAACUGGCCGGCUUGAGCUGCAGAUGGGUGACUGGAACUCUAGGUGGAGUGGUGAAAUACGUAGAUAUCUAGAGGAACGCCGGUGGUGAAAACGGGUCACUGGCUGCAAGCUGACGCUGAGGUGCGAAAGCGUGGGGAGCGAACGGGAUUAGAUACCCCGGUAGUCCACGCCGUAAACGAUGGGCACUAGGUUCGGGGGAGUUUGACCUUUUCCGGGCCGAAGCAAAAGUACUAAGUGCCCCGCCUGGGGAGACGGUCGCAAGGCU